rnacentral:rRNA from 1 species
UACAGAGGGUGCGAGCGUUGUCCGGAAUCACUGGGCGUAAAGGGCGCGUAGGUGGUUGGGUAAGCGUGUGGUGAAAGCCCGGGGCUCAACCCCCGGGUCGGCCAUGCGAACUGCCCGACUGGAGCACGGUAGAGGCCAAUGGAAUUCCGGGUGUAGCGGUGGAAUGCGUAGAGAUCCGGAAGAACACCCGUGGCGAAGGCGGCCCUCUGGCUCGACCCUGACGCUGAGGCGCGAAAGCUAGGGGAGCAAACGGGG